rnacentral:rRNA from 1 species
AUUGAACGCUGGCGGAAUGCUUUACACAUGCAAGUCGAGCGGCAGCGCGGGGGCAACCCUGGCGGCGAGCGGCGAACGGGUGAGUAAUACAUCGGAACGUGUCCUUAAGCGGGGGAUAGCUCGGCGAAAGCCGGAUUAAUACCGCAUAAGCUCUGAGGAGGAAAGCGGGGGCUCCGUAAGGACCUCGCGCUGUUGGAGCGGCCGAUGUCGGAUUAGCUAGUUGGUGGGGUAAAGGCCCACCAAGGCGACGAUCCGUAGCUGGUCUGAGAGGAUGAUCAGCCACACUGGAACUGAGACACGGUCCAGACUCCUACGGGAGGCAGCAGUGGGGAAUUUUGGACAAUGGGGGCAACCCUGAUCCAGCCAUUCCGCGUGAGUGAAGAAGGCC